AUUUAUUAUCUGGAAUGCCCCCCAAAACCGCUCAAUUGCAGCAUUUGUUGCAAACGCGUAGAGCCCAAAGAUCGGCGGUAAUUGAAAACAGAUGGAAAUAAGCAGCUAAUAAAAUAUCUAAGAAAAGUCCUAUUAAUAACUCAUUAAAUCUCAGAAAUAGAUGUUCUUCACAAUUCCUGCAGACUCAAAUAUCAAAUCGAAAUGUCUAAAAGAAUGAUUUCAACGGAAAGGAGAUCCUGUCGGCUGUGCCGUUAAAUCUUUCCCUGCUGAAAAGGGAAAUAAUAAACACAUUCUUAACAUUCAAUCAGCAGGGAACAGCCAUACGUUAUGUCCGACUGAAGGAACACUCAGUCAUUUCUUUGUCUGAGGCGGCCAGAAUUCAUGUUUUGCCCAAACAAACAUUUUACGGAAAAAAAGAUUCAAGUUGCUGCAAAAGUCACAUCUUGAAUGGCAAAGUCGUGGCAGACGUCUUACAAAACACUAUCACCGGCAAACUGAGAUCGCACACAGUCCUGUCUGAUAAUGAUAUCGUAAGUCUUCUUGACGCUCUGUAUGAUCUGAUCAGAACCAAUCAACGGAGCUGUCUAGACUUCGAUGACCUUUCUGCCAUGAGUGACGAAGAUAAUUCAAACUUUACAGAUCUUACAAAAACACAGUCUGAUGAUCUGAUGCUAAAUGUUACCGACAAACGGACGACAAAGUCAAGGUCCAUCAGAUCUUGUGUUGCGGUGUUGCUCGUGAAAUUGAUUGCGGCUGUAGGAAACGCCUUACUAGGCACUCUUUUCGGCACGAAAAAAGCGCAGAAGAGCAUACUCCAUGCACAAACACAGGCCUCUAGUUAAGCCAAUGAUGAUAGUGUCUACAACACGCUACAUUGGCAGUAUCGUGGGAACUUACCUAGCUGAUGACCGGAACUCGGACGCUAACAUUCUCAAACACAUCAUCUCUCGCAACACUUAUGAUUUCAAGAACUGGAUUCGUGACGGUGAUAUUGUCUUGGUGGACAGAGGUUUCCGCGACGCUGGUCCGCUACUAGCCGGGUGGACAGAGGUUUCCGCGACGCUGGUUCGCUACUUGCCGAUUUGGGUAUCACCAUGUAAAUGCCUUAAUUUAUGCCGAGAGGAUCCAUCCAGCACACGACGGAAGAAUCAAAUAAUUCUCGACUUGUUACCAAGCUUUUUAAGCGUCUACGGUCUUCCAAAGACGUUCAACCCGGCGACAACACCGAAUCCACAAUGACCAGUCCGUACCUACACGGAAGCUUCACCCAACAAACACAGCGGCAACACGGACUGUCCCAGCAGAGGUACGUUCUAUUACGGACGAACACUGCAUAGACACGUAGUGCCACGGGUAAACACGAAAUCUUCACGGACCAUCCCGGACUUUUACGACAAUGACGCGAACAAACAUGGCAGCGAUACGGAACAAUCACGUCUGCCCCGGCGGGAUAAUAACUUGUAUAAAAUAAAGUUGAUUUCCGAUGAUGCCAUCAGUCUGCAAUCAGAUCUCUAACGCUUAAUAUGGAAUGCUACUUUUUACAUUGAAAUGUUUUCAAUCGAUAUGACACUUAUGACAUUUGACAUAACAUUUUCAUUUUUAUUAUGAUCACACAGAGCAUAAUAGUCAAAUACUAUUAUGAAAUGAUGUUUCCUCCUUAAAUUUCGUAUAAUAUUAGUCCGCAUAUUAUUGUUCACAAUUAUACUACAAUUACAAUAAAAUGACAUGUUCAUAGA